rnacentral:rRNA from 1 species
UACGAAGGGGGCUAGCGUUGCUCGGAAUCACUGGGCGUAAAGCGCACGUAGGCGGAUUGCUAAGUCAGGGGUGAAAUCCUGGAGCUCAACUCCAGAACUGCCUUUGAUACUGGCGACCUUGAGUCCGGGAGAGGUGAGUGGAACUGCGAGUGUAGAGGUGAAAUUCGUAGAUAUUCGCAGGAACACCAGUGGCGAAGGCGGCUCACUGGCCCGGUACUGACGCUGAGGCGCGAAAGCGUGGGGAGCAAACAGG